UGGGGAAUUGUUCGCAAUGGGCGCAAGCCUGACGACGCAAUGCCGCGUGGAGGAUGAAGGUCUUCGGAUUGUAAACUCCUGUUGCCAGGGACGAAUGGCUCCGACCUAACACGUCGGAGUAUGACGGUACCUGGUGAGGAAGCCCCGGCUAACUCUGUGCCAGCAGCCGCGGUAAUACAGAGGGGGCAAGCGUUGUUCGGAAUUACUGGGCGUAAAGGGCGCGUAGGCGGCCCGCUAAGUCGAACGUGAAAUCCCCAGGCUCAACCUGGGAACUGCGUCCGAUACUGGCAGGCUUGAAUCCGGGAGAGGGAUGUGGAAUUCCAGGUGUAGCGGUGAAAUGCGUAGAUAUCUGGAGGAACACCGGUGGCGAAGGCGGCAUCCUGGACCGGUAUUGACGCUGAGGCGCGAAAGCCAGGGGAGCAAACGGGAUUAGGAUACCCCGGUAGUCCUGGCCCUAAACGAUGAAUGCUUGGUGUGGCGGGUAUCGAUCCCUGCCGUGCCGAAG
rnacentral:rRNA from 1 species